UGAGCAUCAGCAAAGCAUGAGUGAGGGAUAGAGUAGAUGACCGAGAUCACAUUGACGAAUCGGAUGUCAGCAUCUGGAACGCCUAAUGAACUGAAUACAUACUCCAUGGCAGUGAACCAUGAAGCGGGUUGUUCUGGUCGUAAAGGUGGCAAUUUACGCUGGGAACAGAGUCUGUGAGGUCAGUGAUCUACACAUUGACUGCACUGUCAGCACAUGAUGUUCUGUGGAGCUUCCAGAGCUGCAUUUACAGCAAAAGAUGGCCACAAUGUUAACAUGAC